GACGAACGCCGGCGGCGUGCCUAAUACAUGCAAGUUGAGCGCUGAAGGUUGGUACUUGUACCAACUGGAUGAGCAGCGAACGGGUGAGUAACGCGUGGGGAAUCUGCCUUUGAGCGGGGGACAACAUUUGGAAACGAAUGCUAAUACCGCAUAAAAACUUUAAACACAAGUUUUAAGUUUGAAAGAUGCAAUUGCAUCACUCAAAGAUGAUCCCGCGUUGUAUUAGCUAGUUGGUGAGGUAAAGGCUCACCAAGGCGAUGAUACAUAGCCGACCUGAGAGGGUGAUCGGCCACAUUGGGACUGAUACACGGCCCAAACUCCUACGGGAGGCAGCAGUAGGGAAUCUUCGGCAAUGGACGAAAGUCUGACCGAGCAACGCCGCGUGAGUGAAGAAGGUUUUCGGAUCGUAAAACUCGGUUGGUAGAGAAGAACGUUGGUGAGAGUGGAAAGCUCAUCAAGUGACGGUAACUACCCAGAAAGGGACGGCUAACUACGUG
rnacentral:rRNA from 1 species